UACAGAGGGUGCGAGCGUUACUCGGAAUUACUGGGCGUAAAGCGCACGUAGUCGGCUUUGCAAGUCGGUUGUGAAAUCCCCGGGCUCAACCUGGGAACUGCAUCCGAGACUGCAUUGCUAGAGUAUGGGAGAGGGAAGCGGAAUUUCUGGUGUAGCAGUGAAAUGCGUAGAUAUCAGAAGGAACAUCAGUGGCGAAGGCGGCUUCCUGGACCAAUACUGACGAUCAGGUGCGAAAGCGUGGGGAGCAAACAGG
rnacentral:rRNA from 1 species